rnacentral:lncRNA from 1 species
CUCCAAGUCAGUUAUGCUCUUUUCUCAUUCUUGUUGUUGUUUUCACAAAGAUACAAAGAAAAGAACGAAAGAUGGUGAUUGAGCAGAUAUCCUAUUUUUUGAGAAAUUGAUACUUCUAGCCAUUCCAGUACACGGACCGAGUCCAUUUGGAAAAUGCUCAUUAUAUGGGAGGCUGUGGACGCUGGGACAAAAACAUCUCAGACGCUGUUCUCAGGGAGCUCACAGUCAAGUGAGGAAGACAAAUAAUUAACAAGGCCGAAGCAAACACAUCUCAGUAGUCCAGGGGGCAUCACUAGUGAGAACUCAAAGGACAGAAAUUACUUGCAUCUCCACCAAACAAAAAUCUAUCAGCUAACCCCGCCCCAACAGAGCUGCAACUUAGCCCCAUCAAUGGAGAGCCAGUCUAAGGAGCACGCUGAGCGCCUCACUGAAGAGCACCCAGGCCUCGGGGUGCUUGCCAUUGCCAAGUUCUGAGCAAUUCUUCUCCAGCACGCUCUACCCUGGCCUGGGGCAAGUCCUCUCUUGUCCCUCUGCCUAGCCAGGUCCCUGCUCUAUCCAGCCUGUUUGAGACCCUCAUUAGCCCUUCUCUCUUUUAGAAACCUUCCAUCCAAACUGGAUGAACAGCUAUUUCAGCAACUCCCUAUGGCUUCGUCUCUUCGUUCACGGGAUGCCAUGUGGCAGGAACGUGGAGACGCUGAGCAUCAGCCAUGGAUCACGAUGCUCUCUGAAUGGGAAGGUGGCCGAGGGGCUCCAACAGCUCGUCACCAUGAGCCAUUCCAUUAUAGGCACUGUGUUGAAGCCCCAGCCACCGAGACCUGAGAGGUCCUAUUUUACUCUGGGUCAUGGGCAGAGAGGAGAAACAGCUGGAAAGAUAAAGCCAGAACUAGGAAAAUGGCCAUAGAAGACCACGGUGAAACUCAUCAAAUAGAACACUUAAAAUAUGUGUAUUUCAUGUUAUGCUAAUUAUUCUGGAUUAACCUGAAUUUUAAAAAUUAAAUUUGAAAAAGGAAACAAA